GUUUUAUUCUUAUUCCUUAAUAGAGAGAAUUCAUUCUAGAUCGCUAACUUGUUUUCUCCAUUUCUCUCUUUACUGUUUUUACCUAUAAAAAAUAAACUUAACUUAUAAAGAUUUUUUUUAGCAGAUCAGUCUCUCUGUGACAGAAGCACACAACACUUGACAAUUUUUGCUUAUUACACAAACCAGAAUAUCCUAUAGAUUUCAUCUUCUUGCUAACAUAACUGGAUUAGCAAUCAGAAACAAAUGCAAUUAGAUGACAAUUGUAUGGAAUAGGAAAAAUGUAAUUAAAUAGUAAAGAGCAAACAAAGAUGUUUUUAUUCCAUGAGAAAAAUAAAUUUCAGGCCUUGAAAUAAAAUAUUCUAUACAAGCGAAGAAUAAGAUUAAAAAGGUAUUUAGAUACACAUGAGGCCUGGUGCCAUGAAACAGUGAUAUUGAAUAAGUGUUAAUAUUAUUUUUGGCAGUAAAUAACUUAAAAAUAUUCAGAAUAAAAUGCAUCAGGAUAUUAAGAUUAACAGAAGGCAGAGUUUCCAGAGCCUCGUUUACAUGACUAUAUAUAUAUUUCUUUUUUUCUUAAAGCUUAGAAGUGGUUUUAAAACAGAUUACAACAUUUGCAUGAAUGAGUACCAAAUGAACAAUGAAUUUGUGAAGAAAAUGAGCCCUCCACCCAGUCUAGUAAUUUUAUGGUUCAAAAGUCAUAUCAGAUUAUUUUUAAGCCUUUAUUUCAUUGUGGGUAUAAAUUUGAAGUAUUAUCUCAAAUGUGAAGAAGCAUGAAACAGCUCAUUGUGGAGUUCAAGCAAAUAGAAACAACUACUGCGGCUAUUUCUAUACUAAGCUCAUCCCUAAAUUCAAUUGCGAUUUUAAUUAUUUUGAGAUAGUUUGGGCUUGGGAGACGUCCUUAAGGGUUAGUUGUUAUAUAAUGAAAAAUAUUGGGCAAAAUUAUUUGAACAGACUGUUAAGAUGACAAGGUAAACAAAUGAACAGCUUUCCUAUCCAGUUAUUUCUUUUCCUUUAUUCAUCAACAAAUCUCAGAAGAAACUAUGUUCCAGGAGCACAUUGUUCUCAUGCUUUGGAUACAAAGUUAAAAUUGAUAUAACCCUUUUUCAGGAGAAGUUCACUGUUGGCUAGGGAAGAGAAACACAAAAACAGAUCAUUGUAAGGCAACGUUCGAAGUGUUAAUAAAGAAGGAUGAGAAUUGUUUGCCGUUGGGAAUGAUUACCUUUGAAUAGACAAGUCUAGAAAGUCUUCAUGGAGAAGUCCUGGGUCCUGAAGAAAGAGUAAGAGAUUAUCAGGAAAAGAAAAGAGGAAAGCAGGAUGUCUUCUGUGGUUACUUUUUAAAUCUAAAUAUUUUAAACGAUUGAAUAAUCUGAGGGAGCAUGCUGGGAGUCAGCCAGAAAACAGUCUGAAUGGACGCAAUUUGAGAAACAGUCGACCUUGGUUAACUGCUUUAUUGGGAUAGAGCCACAGACUGUAAAAUUCACUCUUUGAAAGCACACAGCAUUAUUCACAACAGCCAAAGGAUGCAAACAACCCAAAUCCAACUCAAGUGGUGAAUGGCUAAAUUUGGUCAAUGAAAUGUAAACUGAAAUGUCUUAUGGAACUUUCUGCCAUAUCUGGAAGUGGCCCUUCUAUCUUGUCUCUUCUUUUGGCCUGCAACUAAGAUGCCAGAAGUUGCAGCUGCUGUCUUGAACCAAAAGGUACCCUGAAGAUGGAAGCCAUGUGCCAACAUGAUGGACAGAAACAUUGUAGCUUGAGACUCUCAUGUUCUCAGAGAACUGCCAGGCCAACCCAGGAACGCCGACCUCCAGACUUCUUUUACCAGAGAAAUACAUUUCCGUAUUUUUGAGCCAACUUUGUUUUAGGGGUUUGGUUAAAUGCUGCCAAACUAAUCCUAAUUAAUACAUUUGUCGAGCUGAUGAUUUUAAACUACCUUAAUAAGGCCAAUUAUUCAAUCUCAGAGUCUUGUAUAACAAUCUUUAACAGCAUUUAUCCUUUGGGACUUUUUAUAUGGUUUUAACAGGAGACAUGCUUUGUCCACAACGAGAGGAAAGGGAAACCCACAUAUAUUGGAUACCCAUAAUGAAUUAACUUCUUCCACAUACAUGAAUUUAUUUAAACAUCACACCUGGGACGGUGGGUAUUAUUUGCCACAUUUUCAAAUAAGCAAACUUAGGCUACAGAUGUUUACUUGGCUUGCCCUCAGUCACCGUGUAAGAAAGCUGUGGAGGUGGAAUUUGAACCUGUGUCUGUUUGGCCCCAGAGCCCAUGCCCUUCCCAUGACCCCUCACUGCACACAACCAACCACAUAAACUCAUUCUCAAAGGCCCAAGAUUGGUUUCCUCAUCACGUGGCUAAAGAGGUAUCAGCAUAGUUAUUUCCUUUGGCAUAGUCUACCUUUACUUUUUCAUUUUCUGGCACUUUGAAAACUUGGGGUCCAUUGCUUUAAAUCCAUCUUUAUUUCUCACAGGCCUUGUUUUCAAAUCACAGAUUUCUAUUCACAAGGUGACAGCGGCUCCUAAAUAUCUCCCUCAACCACUCUGACUUGCUAGAGCCUGUCGUUCCAGUACCAAUAAAAUGCAAGUGACUCAAAUUGAGAUUACCAACCUCUCAUCAGACCAGCUGGAGAGAGUGCAUGGUCUGCCUUGGCCACACCCAGUUCUCUUUCCCAGAGUUUUUCUCAUUUACUAAAUAUGAUCUCAAGGCUGCUCCACCUUCUGUACUCUCUAUCUCAGUGAACGUCAUCACCGUCCAUCCUGUUGCUUAAACCAGAAUCCUCUGAAUCAUUCUUGAUACCUCCCUCUCCAUCAUCCACCACAUACAGGAAACAUUAAGCCUCCUUUUCCUUAUCUUUUAUGUGUAACAUUAAUCCAUCCCCUAUUUCAGGCCAGUACUCGCUUAUUGAUAUUAUUGCUAAUUUUUCUCCUUGCCUCCAGCCAAUUCUACACUUCAAAACACAAAUUUUAUGUCAUUCCUCUUUUUUUUUUUCUGGGAAAGAUUCACCGUGAGCUAACAUCUGCUGCCAAUCUUCCUCUUUUUUUUUUUUAAGUCCCCAACACCCCAGCACGCAGUUGUAUAUUUAAGUUGUAAGUCUUUCUAGUUCCUCUGUGUGAGCCGCUGCCACAGCAUGGCUACUGACAGACAAGUGGUGUGGAUCUCUGCCUGGGAACCAAAGCCAGGCCGCCAAAGCAGAGUGUGCCAAAUUUUAACCACUAGGCCAUCAGGACUAGCUCUUGUUCCUCUUUUUUUUUUUUUUUUUUCAAGAUUUUAUUUUUCCUUUUUCUCCCCAAAGCUCCCCUGGUACACAGCUGUAUAUUUUUAGUUGUGGCUCCUUCUAGUUGUGGCAUGUGGGACGCCGCCUCGGCAUGGCUUGACGAGUGGUACCAUGUCUGCGCCCAGGAUCCGAACUGGUAAAAUCCUGGGCCACCGAAGCAGAGCGCACAAACUUAACCACUCCGCCAUGGGGCUGGUCCCUCAUUCCUCUUUUUAUUUUAAUUUUUAUUGAAGUAUAACUUAAUAAAGGUAUUAACUUAGUAAAGUGCCCAAAUCUUAAAUAUAUGACUUGAUAUGUUUUUAAAUAUGUAUACCAGAUCAAGACAGAGAAUAUUCUGGCACUCCAGAAGGCUCUCUCAUGCCCUCAUUUGAGUCAUACUCCACCCCCAAGGUAACUACUAUUCUGAAUUCUGUCACCACAAAUUAGUUUUGCCUGUUUUAAAAACUCGUAGAAGUGGAAUCAUACAAUAGGUUCUUUUUUGUGUAUGACUUUUUCACUCAAUGUCUAUGAUAUUCAUUCAGUAUGUGGCACUCCUCUUUAUUGCUAUGUAGUAUUUCAUUCUGUGAAUACAUCUCAAUUUAUUUACCCUUUUCACUGUUGAUGGAUGUUUGAAUCAUUUAUAGGUUUUAGAUAUUAUGAAUAAAACUGUUAUGAACAUUUUUGCCUAUAUCUUCUGGUUGACACAAGCACACAUUUCUGUUGGUACAUAACCUAGAGCAGAAUUGCUGGGUCAGAGAGCAUUAGUAGGUAUUAUUAUUAUGUUGUGUUGUAUUGUAUUAGGUAGGUAUUCGUAGGUAUUGUAUUAUAGGUAGGUCUUAUAAGAAUUCCAGUUAUUCCACAUCCUCAUCAACUCUUGGUAUUGUCUAUCUUUUUAAUUUUAACCAUUCUGGUGGCUUUAAAAAUCUUUCUAUGACACCUCACCUAGAUAAAGUCCAAACUCCAUAACAUGAUAGACAGUCCUUCAUAACCUGAAUUCUACUUAUCCAUUUAGCCUUAUCUCUAAUCUCUGCCCACCUUGAACUUGAAGCUGUAUACCUAAUAAAUUACUUGUGGAUCCUUGAGUGCUCUUUGUUUGGUUUUGUUCUGCUUCGCUUCUGGUCUCUGAACUUCCUCUUCUCCUGUGCCUUCUUUUCAUUUGGAUAAGUCUUUCUCAUCCACUGAGCCUCAGCUUAAAC
rnacentral:lncRNA from 1 species